AGUGAAUUUUAAACGGCCGCGGUACUCUGACCGUGCAAAGGUAGCAUAAUCAUUUGCCUUAUAAUUGAAGGCUGGAAUGAAUGGUUUGACAAGAAUAUAUCUGUCUCCUUUAGAUUACUUAGAAUUUUAUUUUUGGAUGAAAAAGUCCAGAUAUAAUUAAAAGACAAGAAGACCCUAUCGAGCUUUAGAAAAAUUAGUAGAUUUAAUGUGAUUUGAUAUUAAUAAAAGAAAAGUCAUUAAAUACUUUGAUUGGGGCAAUCGAGGAGUAACUAAAGCCUCCUUUAGAUAUUUAAAUCUUACUUGCGUUGAUCCAAAGUUUUUGAUCAAAGGAAUUAGUUACCGUAGGGAUAACAGCAUUAUCUUUUUUAAGAGCCCAUAUCGAAAAAAAGGUUUGUGACCUCGAUGUUGGACCAGAAUAUCCUAAAGAUGCAGAAGUCUUUAAGGG
rnacentral:rRNA from 1 species